rnacentral:rRNA from 1 species
GAUGAACGCUGGCGGCGUGCCUAAUACAUGCAAGUCGAGCGAACAGACGAGGAGCUUGCUCCUUUGACGUUAGCGGCGGACGGGUGAGUAACACGUGGGUAACCUACCUAUAAGACUGGGAUAACUUCGGGAAACCGGAGCUAAUACCGGAUAAUAUUUCGAACCGCAUGGUUCGAUAGUGAAAGAUGGCUUUGCUAUCACUUAUAGAUGGACCUGCGCCGUAUUAGCUAGUUGGUAAGGUAACGGCUUACCAAGGCAACGAUACGUAGCCGACCUGAGAGGGUGAUCGGCCACACUGGAACUGAGACACGGUCCAGACUCCUACGGGAGGCAGCAGUAGGGAAUCUUCCGCAAUGGGCGAAAGCCUGACGGAGCGACGCCGCGUGAGUGAUGAAGGUCUUCGGAUCGUAAAACUCUGUUAUUAGGGAAGAACAAACGUGUAAGUAACUGUGCACGUCUUGACGGUACCUAAUCAGAAAGCCACGGCUAACUACGUG